CUGCUUCGGGAAUUCGAUGACUACUGGUUUCAAAGCUUCAUUCUCCGCUGGCGUGAGAUCUAAGACAAAAGGCUUGUUAUCUUCUUCGAAUGGCAACUCUAUGACAAACGGUUGGUCCGUGACCCCAAACACUUCAGCUUCUAUUGCCAAUUUCUUGAUUUGUUCCUCGUACUCCGCAUCGUCCAUAAUAACCCCAACAUGCUCUGGUAAGGGGUUUUGAUUUACGUUUGGCCCUUGCGGCUCCCUCUUUCUGAUCACGAUUUCUCCAGACUCAACCAUAUCCUGAAC
rnacentral:lncRNA from 1 species